GAGAGCCAUGCGAGAAACAUGGCCGUCGAAAGCCCAAGGUUUCCUGGGGAAGGUUCAUCCACCCAGGGUAAGUCGGGACCUAAGCCAAGGACGGAAGUCGUAGGCGAUGGACAACAGGUUUAUAUUCCUGUACUGCCGAAGAAUGAAGCAGUGACACAGAAGGAUAGUCUGAGCAGGGUAAUGGUCAUCCCUGUCCAAGCACUGAGGCUGUGAUGUAGUGAAGUACGCAUCACGUAAGGCUGGGGUGUUAUGGGGAGCGAAAUUUCAGUAGCGAAGCAGAUGAUUUCACGCUGGCGAGAAAAGCUGCUAGUAUAUCGUAAGGCACCCGUACCAGAAACCGACGCAGGUGGGCGAGGAGAGAAUCCUGA
rnacentral:rRNA from 1 species